UUUAUACUACAGCAUAGGGCUGAAUUGUGGGAGGACUUAUAUGAUUCUACCCCUUUUCAUUUUUAUGGUGCUUUGGAG
rnacentral:pre_miRNA from 1 species